AACGAGGCCGACCUGCGGCUGAGUUACCUGCGGAGGGAUCAUUACUGAGUUUUGAAAAGGUUUAUGACUUUGGUCAUAUUCCUUUUUCUUCUCUUCACCCUUUUGUUAUUAUUUUCCAAGUUGCUUUGGCAGGGAUGGCUUCGUCUCUGCCAAGGAACCUUAUCAAACACUUUGUUAUCCAACAAUUGGGAUGUCUUUUGUCUGAUUCUUAUGACUUGAAUAAAGUACAUAAAACUUUUA
rnacentral:misc_RNA from 1 species